CCUACGGGAGGCAGCAGUGAGGAAUAUUGGUCAAUGGACGGAAGUCUGAUGCAGCGACGCCGCGUGAGUGAAGAAGGAUCUCGGUACGUAAAGCUCUAUCAGCAGGGAAGAAAAUGACGGUACCUGACUAAGAAGCCCCGGCUAACUACGUGCCAGCAGCCGCGGUAAUACGUAGGGGGCAAGCGUUAUCCGGAUUUACUGGGUGUAAAGGGAGCGUAGACGGCAGCACAAGUCUGGAGUGAAAUCCCUGGGCUUAACCCCGGAACUGCUUUGGAAACUGUGCGGCUGGAGUGCAGGAUGGGUAAGCGGAAUUCCUAGUGUAGCGGUGAAAUGCGUAGAUAUUAGGAGGAACACCGGUGGCGAAGGCGGCUUACUGGACUGUAACUGACGUUGAGGCUCGAAAGCGUGGGGAGCAAACAGGAUUAGAUACCCCAGUAGUC
rnacentral:rRNA from 1 species